GACGAACGCUGGCGGCGUGCCUAAUACAUGCAAGUAGAACGCUGAAGGAGGAGCUUACUUCUCUGGAUGAGUUGCGAACGGGUGAGUAACGCGUAGGUAACCUGCCUGGUAGCGGGGGAUAACUAUUGGAAACGAUAGCUAAUACCGCAUAAGAGUAGAUGUUGCAUGACAUUUACUUAAAAGGUGCAAUUGCACCACUACCAGAUGGACCUGCGUUGAAUUAGCUAGUUGGUGGGGUAACGGCUUACCAAGGCGACGAUACAUAGCCGACCUGAGAGGGUGAUCGGCCACACUGGGACUGAGACACGGCCCAGACUCCUACGGGAGGCAGCAGUAGGGAAUCUUCGGCAAUGGACGGAAGUCUGACCGAGCAACGCCGCGUGAGUGAAGAAGGUUUUCGGAUCGUAAAGCUCCGUUGUAAGAGAAGAACGAGUGUGAGAGUGGAAAGUUCACACUGUGGCGGUAUCUUACCAGAAAGGGACGGCUAACUACGUGCCAGCCGCCGCGGUAA
rnacentral:rRNA from 1 species